CUCAAUGUGUGAGGAGGUCAGAGCUGGUUGCUGCAGCUCAGACUGCAUGGGUCUUAAAAGUCACUCUUGAGUUCCUAGACCAAUAAUUUAGGAACUUUCACCACUGAUGCUGAGCCAAGUUUCACUGCGUGUGUAACUUUUUCUAAACGCUGUAUAGAUAUGCACAUGAACUUGACCUUUGGAGAGUGUGUAAGUAAAGUAUUUUAAACUUACCAAAUAUGUAGUCCUUUUCUAUGUGGGGGAAGAGGGGAAUUUUUUGAAAGAACUCACAAGGGCAUAUUUUAAGGCUUUAAUAGCCUAUAUCUCCACACUUUACUUUGCUGCAUGCUUCGUGUUUUUAAAUCUGUGCUGGAGUUUUCUCACCAAAAAGCACUUGCCCCAAACCAGGAUCAUGCCAUCCAGGGAAUUAUCCUUUUUAUAAAUCUGUAUUUUUCAUCGCCACCAACAAAUAUCAGGUAUAAUAUAUAAAAACACAUUCUAUUGCAGAUGAUUGUUCUGCAAAUACAUGCACAUUUGUUCAAAAUUCCAUGCAGAUGUGAAUAUUAGGAGUCACUGGCACUAAAUUACUGGUGAAUUUUCAUGGGGACUUAAAAAAAAAGAAACCACAAGCUGAUGUGGAAAUGUGGAGAUCUUAAUUUAAGCCUGGAAAAAUAAGAAACUGAGAGGAAACUGAAACUGACAGAUUCAUACACCCCUAAGACAAACCUAUCAUGACUAGCAACUAUUGCUAGCCUCAUUCCCCAUGACAGCCUCCCUUUAGGAAUAAGGUGUGAAGCAUGAUGCCCCAUUAAAUCUGUGCUUCUGGUGCAUGCUGAAAACCUUUCUCUCCAAACAGGGUGAAUGGGCACAGGGAUUAGAGAACACCAGCCUAUCUCCCCUAUUGCUCAGCACCAGCUACGGGAGCAAACACAGAUUGCUGUUACUAUGGCUUUUUGCUGGAGUCUUUCAGGCACUGCCCUGGAUCUGUCCCAGAAAAAAAUCUUUAAACGGACCAUAAGGGCAGUGGCAACUAAAAACGAUCUAAACUCUAUGUACACAUCUACAUGCGCCCCAUUAUAUUUUAAACUUAGAGAGGUCUAUGAACAUACAUCUUAUUUUAAUGAAUUGACUUUUGUACAACUUUGGAAAGCUUUUACAGAGUUACGAUUAAAUACAAUAAACCCUGCUUAUAGAGAUGGGAGACACAGAGGCAUACCAACAAACUAACGUGUUUGCAUUAGGGGAUGUCCUGAAGUAGAGGACCUUAUACAUUAUAUCUUGCACUGCCCCUUAUAUAAUGAAGCAAGAGAAAGACUUUUAGCACCUAUAAUGACAAGGUCCCCUGGCCAAAACUCUUCUGACAUGAUUUUAUAUCUCCUCACAGACACAGAUAAGUAUGUGACCUGGCAUGUAGCACUCUUUGCAACUGCAGCUAGGAAAAUUAGAGCAAAUUAUAUAGCCAAGGUAGCCACCGACUGUAAAGGAGAUGAAUUUAUUUGACCGUGUCUACAUCAAGCUAUAUUCUAUCUUCAUCACCAAACUCCGAAUAUAAUUGCACAUUGUAUCAAUGAACAUUAUUUCUUAAUAUAUUAGUGGCCAUGUGAUAAUCUUAGCUUAUAAAUUUUAUUUUAAAAUGUCUUAAGGUACUUUUAUAGCUCUGUUUAGAGUAGGUAAUGUCUUGAUAAUAUAAAUAUUUUAAGUUUUUGUAUCAAUCCAGAAUUUUUUUUUUUAAUUGUUGAAUGUUUCUGUGUACAUUGCAGCAGCCUUUGGCUAUGUGCAAUAAAACUGCCUGCCUGCCUGCCCUGGAUCUGUCAUUCACUCUGCCUGAUGGCUCCAUCCAGGCACCAUAACUUGGGAAAUCAAAAACUGGCAAUCUGCUCCUGGGCAUUUGUGAAUCCUUGUUUCCAAAUCCAGGAGCUGAACCUACAAGCUGUGAUGGACAGGGCAGAAUCCAUUGCCACUCGGGGUACUGUAAGAGCUGGAGGAGAAGAGCUAUAGCAGAGCGCUUGCUUUGCAUGGAUGCAGAAGGUCUCAGGGCAUCCUCUGAGAUUCCCAGCUGAAAGGACCUCUGACAGCAAAGCUGAGAAACAGAGACAUCUCCUUAAGACGCCAAAGAACUGCUGUCAGACAGGCUAGAUCAGUCCUGCAACCACAAAUGUUACAAACCCACUCUCUGUAUGGAUAAACCCUUUGACCCUGAACAGCAGAUGAGCUCUAUUCUGAAACCUUGUGAAACGUGUCUGCAAAAGUAAUAAUAAACCAAGAUAACUGACAAUACAA